rnacentral:misc_RNA from 1 species
GAUGAAGAACGCAGCGAAAUGCGAAAAGUAAUGUGAAUUGCAGAAUUCAGUGAACCAUCGAAUCUUUGAACGCACAUUGCGCCCGCUGGAACUCCGGCGGGCACGCCUGUCCGAGCGUCAUUUCAACCCUCAGGCCCCCCUUCGCGGGCGGGCCUGGUGUUGGGGCCCGGCCGCUACCCUGCGGCCGUCCCCUAAAUCCAGUGGCGGCCUCGCCGUGAUCCCUUGCGUAGUAAUGCACCUCGCACCGGAGAGCGCCGUGGCCACGCCGUAAAACCCCCAAUUUUCAAUGGUUGACCUCGGAUCAGGUGGGAAUACCCGCUGAACUUAAGCAUAUCAAUAAGCGGACGA